CUCUCAUUAACCAUUUUCAGUGCCAAGAUUCAAAAACAUUAAAAACAUGUCCUUUCAACCCAAAGGAAAUGAAAUAAAAUCAAACAGAUAAAAACACAUAUUCUUAAUAGUUUAAUGAAAUAUAUAUAUAUAUUUAUAUUGUCUUAUUCAUUCAAGAAGGAGUAAUUUAAGUCACUUUGUCCAUUUCUUGAAUUUUGACUAAUUUCUCUUUUCCUGGGCAUCUCAAUAUUCCUCUUUGCAUAAGGUUGUGCUGACAUAGUCUGUGGCAACAGCAGGGAUGACUAGGACCUCACACACAUUUUUAUUGCAAUGAAAUUUUCACUGGAAAAUAUUAGAAUGAAUUGAACUGAAAAUUAACAAAAAAUGAAAAAGACACUCCCAACAUUAGGAUCAGGCUCUGAUUCCUCCCAUAGAUGAUGAUGAUUAUUAUUAUUUUAUUUUAUUUAUUUUUUAGUUAGGCUGGCCUUGCUGUGUGUUUCUUGCCUGCAUCAAGUUAAAACAGAAAAGGUUUGCAAUUCAGCACUGCAGGUGUAAACCAUAAGCUGUGCUAGGUCUGUGAAUGUUCUUGUGAUUAAGCACUAAAUUGGAUGCUCUGGUCACCUAGGUUUGACUCUCAUGUCUGUCAUUGAUUUCUAGUCAUUUACGGGAUCGUUUUGUGCUCAGGUCACCUGUGGUGAAUAAAUGAAUCCAGAUAAAUAUUUAGAUAUUUGAAAAUCUGCUGGCAUUUAUGUUUUCACUACAUAAUUUCUAGGAAACCUGGCAGUCUUUCUGCUGUCAAAGCUGCCAUCAACCUGGCAGGGCACAGUGAGUCAUUGCCAGGCCUGCCCAGGACACAGCUUUUCUCCAUCUCACAUCCCUUGGCGGCCUAAUGUGAUGAGUAUAUUCAGAAGGUGCCUAACGCAACAGAAAACACUGAUCUUCAGUCAUUUUUUUCUGCAAAACCCUAGCAAGAGAAGGAGGAAGAGGAGGUGCUAUCUGUUUUUAUGGAGGGUUCAAAGGUGUGCAAGACUUUUAAAGCGAAAUGAAGACAGAUAUGGGACCAGGAAGAAAGCUGAACCACCCUCAGCUAAUUCUUCUGUUGGAGUACUGUAAAGAUGCAGAAAGUUUUCCUCCACUGAGAAAAUGUUUUCAGGAUCCUGCCAUUAUUAUCUACAAUGAGUCAUAGAAAAAAAGCUUGUCUUACCCAUGCUUCAUAACAACUUUAAUGCUGAAGAAGGGACUUGUUGAAAAUACCUAAUUAAAGGGAGCAGAAAAGGGCAAUGAAUGAAUUAUCCCUGUAGUUUUAUGAAGUCAAAAAAUAAUCAGUUCCAAAUUGGGAGGUUCUCUUUUGUAUAAUUUGAUAAUUGUAGUGGCAACUUACAUGAGCUUGCCCCUGGCAUCAACUUUGUCUGCUGUUUUAUUACUUAUACUUUAUCAUUGUCUUUUUCUUUCUAUACUAAACAGUCAGGGACAUAUCUUAUUUUGGAAGAUGUUCAGCAUAAGCUGAUAAGAGGAAAGCACAGAAGUUUUCAGAAAUAAUGAAUAGAGAAUAUAGAGUAUUUAUGCACUGUAGCAUCUUUAUGGUGUCUGAAUGAUGGUUUCAAGCUCUUCACUUUUAUUGUUGUUGUUGUUGUUAUGGUUUUACUAAACUACUCAGCCCAAAUGACAAAAAAUAACUCCAGAAAAGCUGUUCUGUUCUGUUUACGUGUGUAUAAAUACACAUGUAAAAAAUUAACAUUUUUCUUUAAGUUUUUAAACUUUAAGUUUUUUUAAUUCUUCCAACAUUUGGUCAAGUUUGUUCCCCUUCCUGUGGAGAUGUCCAUCCUCAUAUCCCUACCCUCUAACCACAGGCUUUAAAAUUCUGACUCCAAAAACACCUCCCACUUGAGUCUCUGUUCAUGUUCAAUACAAUAAUUAAUGCAUCCAUCUCAUGAGUACCAGGCUCAUCACAACUUGGACUUUUUUCUGCAUUUGGAACAGGAAGUCUACAUUUUCAUUUCACCUAAGUUCUUGAGAGCAAAGCUGGCUGGAGAUGUGAGAUAUGAGGCUAGAAACAGGGACAAGUCACCUCUGGUCCUCUGGUGCUCACUGUCUACACACAAGAGCUUAAUUUCAGAUUAGAGAAGGAUAUCCCUGCAGAAAGCUUACAGAUCAUUUUGCAUGUCGCUUUUAAGUGUUUUAUAUACUACUACUAUCUGUUGUGACAUCUUGGGAAUUUCUGAGUUAUAGCCAAGUGAUUUAUGAGGUCUUAUUAAUUUGACAGACCCAAGUGAUUCAAACAGAACCAUUAUGGUCAAAUUAACUUCUCAUCAAAGAGCUAGUCAGCUAUACAUUAAGCUGUAGAAGUGUCUUUUGAAGAGGUGUAGUUAGGUGUUGUCAAUAUUGAUAAGUCAAAAUCUUUUAAUGCAUCUUUUAAUUUUUUACAGUGCUGUGAAUAAUAUGUAGAUCCACAAUAUGUUGGCCACACCAAGUUGUUCCGCUGGGAAAAUUAUAAAUAUUUUGAAAAUUAAUGAUUGUAUAUCAGAUGCAUUAGUCUGAUUGUAAAACAGUUCUGUAAUAUGGAUUAAAAUCAGUGGCUGAAAGCAAUUCAGAUGCAACUCUCAAAUGUGCUCACCAAAUGCGAUGCUUUGUCUAUACACAUAACCAGGUUAAACAGGAACAAAUAUGUAUAAGAUUAAUGUUAUUUGUAUUAUCAUAAAAUGUGAAGGUCUUGUGAGACCAAGACCCCUUUCUGUAUAUAACAAGAGUCUCUACCCCAGAGAAUUUACAGAUUAAGCAGAUUAAGCAGACAAGAGUUCCAAAACGAAAAAAAAAAAAAAAAAAAAAAAGGAAAAAAAUAACAAAAUAAAGUAUUUUGAAGCUGGGAAACCA
rnacentral:lncRNA from 1 species